CCAUCACAACGAUAUAUAUCAGAUCUCAAAUAGAUGGUACAAAUUACUGAAAUACGCCAUAUAUAUAUAUAUAUAUAUAUAUAGAAUCCCUAUGUAAGAAUAUCCAAAAAAUUUCUCGAGGAAAGAGCCCCCGAACACCUGCAAAGGCAAGUCUACCUGGCCGUACACUUCUCCAAGCCUUAAACCCUUGACUUUUAACGACCUUCCGAAAGCAUCCUUUUUGACUCCACCUUAACAAAUCUAUUUUUUCAAAAUACAAGACAUCAAUCCUCAACACUUAUAGUACACAAUUCCUUUAAAAAAUAAAAUCACAUACUAUGAGUCAUUUAAUCUCUCCACUUUUUCUUUGUAGGUGAGAGAAAAAAGGCAGGAACUAUUAUGAGAAGGAAUCACCACCUUUAUCACUCCCUUUACACACUCAAAUUUUUCCUCUCUCUAGCACACAGUAGGGUAGAAGCAUCUCGAUCUCUCAUCUUAUUCUUAGUAGCUAAGAAAGAAAAAGAAGGCAUGAAUCGUUUAAUACUAUUCUACUUGCACCAAUUGGUAAAUCGAACUGUUCUAAGGAGCUACCAAUUCUAUGAUUUCCUUUCUUUCUUUUUUUAAAUGUAUAUCCUUUACACACUCAAAAUUUCUCCCCUCUUAUCUGAAGUUGUCAACUACACAGACGGGCUACAGAUCUCUCUCUCUAUAUAUAUCUCAGAAAACUCUCUCUCUCUCUCUCUCUCACACANNN
rnacentral:lncRNA from 1 species